rnacentral:rRNA from 1 species
GAUGAACGCUGGCGGUAUGCUUAACACAUGCAAGUCGUACGAAGAUCUUUGAUCUUAGUGGCGGACGGGUGAGUAACACGUGAGAAUCUGCCCUUAGGAAGAGGAUAACAGCUGGAAACGGUUGCUAAUACUCUAUACGCCGAGAGGUAAAAGGAUUUAUCCACCUUAGGAAGAGCUCGCGUCUGAUUAGCUUGUUGGUAAGGUAAUGGCUUACCAAGGCGACGAUCAGUAGCUGGUUUGAGAGGACGACCAGCCACACUGGGACUGAGACACGGCCCAGACUCCUACGGGAGGCAGCAGUGGGGAAUUUUCCGCAAUGGGCGAAAGCCUGACGGAGCAAUACCGCGUGAGGGAUGAAAGCCUGUGGGUUGUAAACCUCUUUUCUCAAGGAAGAAGUUCUGACGGUACUUGAGGAAUAAGCAUCGGCUAACUCUGUG